CAGACGACCUCAAGGUAAACUGACUCCUGAAACAUUACCGAGGUUAGACAACAGACGACCUCAAGGUAAACUGACUCCUGAAACAUUACCGAGGUUAGACAACAGACGACUUGAAGGUAAACUGACUCCUGAAACAUUACCGAGGUUAGACAACAGACGACCUGAAGGUAAACUGACUCCUGAAACAUUACCGAGGUUAGACAACAGACGACCU